UACGUAGGGUGCGAGCGUUGUCCGGAAUUAUUGGGCGUAAAGGGCUCGUAGGCGGUUUGUCGCGUCGGGAGUGAAAACCAGGUGCUUAACACCUGGCUUGCUUUCGAUACGGGCAGACUAGAGGUAUUCAGGGGGAGAACGGAAUUCCAGGUGUAGCGGUGAAAUGCGUAGAUAUCUGGAGGAACACCGGUGGCGAAGGCGGCAUCCUGGACCGGCACUGACGCUGAGGAGCGAAAGCGUGGGGAGCGAACAGG
rnacentral:rRNA from 1 species